CGGCGUGACGGAGGUACUCCAACACCCCCUCCGCAACAGCCCCGGCCGGCCCUCCAGCACACGUCCCCGCCCCGUCGCGGAAGAGCAAGGCGUCAUCACGGCACCAUCGCUGACGUACACGACACUGAUUGGUACGGGAGCUGCGCAAGUAGGAAUAAAGCGGCGUGUGGAAAAGCGAUCACUCGUCACCGUGUGCCCAACCCUUCUGAUGCCCCGCGAGGUUUAAUAAUUAAACUGCGGCACCUCGAGCUCGCCGUGGACACCGGGAAUCACGGCUGAACUCUCCAAACGGACCGCGGCCGCACUUUCCCUCCUGGCAGCAAAUCCUGGGGCCACGGGUGUCCCCGAUGAAGCUGCUCCUCUCAAGGCUGAGACCAAAGGGACAUGCAAGGCACGUGUACCCACACUCAGGAUGCCUCAUUUUGGCAAAAUAUGAGAAAAUCGCAGUUAUUAAUUCACUAUCUGUGCUCUCCAAGAAAUGUAUAAACCAAGAGAUGUAUUACUGGGCAGGAAUUUGGAAAAGAUACAUACACAUAUAUGUACACACACACACACACACACGCACGCACGCACAUUGGUUUCCCAGCUUUCCUGCCGUCACAACUUUGGUGGCUCCAAACAGCAGCGACCUGUGCUCUCCCAGCUCUGGGGGGUCCGCGGCCAGAAAUCAAGGUGUCGUCAAGGUUAACGCCUUCUGGAGGCUCUGAGGGAGAAUUCUUUCCACUCUCCCAGCUUCUGGUGGCCGGCGGCCCAUCUUUGGCUUGUGGGCAGAUCCCUUCUUCACAUGGCCAUUCACUCUGGGUCUGCACAUCGAGUCUCUCUGUUUUCUUUUAUACUCACACAGGUCAUUGGGCUUAAGCCUCGCCCUCAUUCCAGAACGGGUUCGCCCAGGCACCUCCACUUGAUCGCACCUGCAAAGACCCUAUCUCCUCGUAAGGUCACACUCACGGGUGCCAGGGACCAGGACUUAGACCCAUCUUUUGGGAGGGGGCACUAUUCAACUGCCUGCAUGGAGAUAGUACGGGGGGAUCUACGUGUGUUCCUUCUAACUUUGAACUUUAUUUCAGUUACCGGACAGAGUCGGAGGGGAGGGUCCCUCCAGCCCACCUCGCCUCACCUCAGCCCCCGGCCCUACUCUCCAACCAGACUUGGGAGCUGGGACACAGGGGACCCGGCUCAUGCCAUCCCCUUCUCUGUCUUCUAGUUCCGGGCUCUGAUCACGUAACCUCUCAGCGGCCAGGGCCCCACUGGAAGGAGGUGACCCCGUCCGGGACUCCGCGGCAGGCAGUUCAGGAUUACCAGGGACGCGCGAUUGAAACACUGGUCGUAGAAGGGAAGUCUGCGGCCCGGGCGGGUCGGGGGGCCCAGGAGAAGCCUCCACUCUGGGCGAAGCCUCAUGUUCGGGCUGAGGUUUGAAGAACAGAGCGGGGCAAGUCCAUUUUCUGUACGACGUGAGCGCAAGGUGGAGGCUGGCCCUUUGGCAGGCUGUGCGUAGUGCCUUCCUCCCAAAGAAGACAGAAUGGACAGGUGGACAGAGUGACCUCACAGCAGAGAAGCCUGACGGACGCACCUCACCCAGAUGACGAAGGUCAGCAUUGACUGUGCUCGGUCGUGUUGAUGGCAAAUGCCCUUCUGUGAUAGACUAGAAGGACCCUUCCCCUCUGUGGUCUUCCUCCCCCAAACCCAUAACCCAAUCUGACCACGAGAAAACCAUCAGACAAAGCCCAGCUGAGGGGCAUCCUACAAAAUGCCCGUCCAGUACGCCUCAAAACUGCCAAGGUCAUUAACAACACAGGAAGUGUGAGAAACUGUCACAGCCCAGAGGGACUCAGGGGACACAACAAUUAAAUGUAACGUGGUGUCCUAGAUGGGGUCCUGGAACAAGGAGGGUAUUAGGUACAAGCCAAGAGAACCGAAAUAAAGUACAUAUUUCUUCACUGUUAACAGCGAUGCAUCGAUAUGGAUUCAUUAAUUGUAACAGACGGACCAGACUAAUGGCAGCUAUUAACAGUGGAGAAACCGGGGGCCGGGGAUCCGUGUGGGAUCUGUGCUGUCUUCAGAACAAC